GGACUACCGGGGUAUCUAAUCCUGUUCGCUCCCCACGCUUUCGCUCCUCAGCGUCAGUUAUGGCCCAGAGACCCGCCUUCGCCGCCGGUGUUCCUCCUGAUAUCUGCGCAUUUCACCGCUACACCAGGAAUUCCAGUCUCCCCUACCACACUCUAGUUUGCCCGUAUCGACUGCAGGCUCGGGGUUGAGCCCCGAGUUUUCACAGCCGACGCGACAAACCGCCUACGAGCUCUUUACGCCCAAUAAUUCCGGACAACGCUUGCACCCUACGUAUUACCGCGGCUGCUGGCAC
rnacentral:rRNA from 1 species